rnacentral:sRNA from 1 species
AAAAUACAAAAGCUAACCAAAAAAUGGAUCAAAAAGGCAGAGCUAGUGUUCAGGUACAGAAAACUCGACAAAUGUAGUUGUAGUUUUACCUCAAGUCGGGUGUUCUACAUUAGAAGACACCAAAAAAAAAGAGCAAUUAUCGGUUUCUUAAGUGUU